GCCAGACUCCUACGGGAGGCAGCAGUGAGGAAUAUUGGUCAAUGGGCGGGAGCCUGAACCAGCCAAGCCGCGUGAAGGAAGAAGGCGCCAAGCGUCGUAAACUUCUUUUGUCGGGGAACAAAGGGCGCCACGUGUGGCGUUGUGAGUGUACCUGAAGAAAAAGCAUCGGCUAACUCCGUGCCAGCAGCCGCGGUAAUACGGAGGAUGCGAGCGUUAUCCGGAUUUAUUGGGUUUAAAGGGUGCGUAGGCGGUAUUUUAAGUUAGUGGUAAAACGUCGGGGCUUCACCUUGAUUGGCCAUUAAAACUGGAGUACUAGAGUACAGACGAGGUAGGCGGAAUAAGUUAAGUAGCGGUGAAAUGCUUAGAUAUAACUUAGAACCCCGAUAGCGAAGGCAGCUUACCAGACUGUUACUGACGCUGAAGCACGAGAGCGUGGGUAGCGAACAGGAUUAGAUACCCCGGUA
rnacentral:rRNA from 1 species